UCCAUUCCUAUAUAGUACACAAACAUACACGGUUUUGAUCCUUGGGAUUCCGAGUCCAACCUCAACACUCCUUUGUCCUAAGCCAUGCUAAGCUAAAUUUUGUGGUCGCUUUUAUUUCUAGUAAAGCGCACAGUUCUGAAAUAGAAAGCUUUUGGAAGUGUGGUUGUCUCAAAUUUAUCAAGUUAUCAACAUUCAUGUUGCGAUUAGCACUUUCCUCAUCAUUGCUAACUUGGAAUUUUCAGAGUGAUUCAGAUAUUGUUCUGGGCUUCUGGCUGAUGACAAUUUUGCCACUAUUGUUGCGAGGGAAGGGCGAUUUACAAUAACACAAAGCAAUUCAUCAGACAUAUGAUCUCUUCAAAUAUUGGUGAAGUUGUUAGUAUAUUUGUGGCAGCUGUACAUGGAAUACCUGAUACACUGGCCCCUGUCCAACUGCUCUAGGUCAACUUAGUUACUGAUGGGUUGCCUGCCACAGCUAUUGGUUUUAAUAAGCAAGAUUCUGAUGUGAUGAAGGCUUGCCUUAACUAAUUAAGUAUUGUAUUUUCUCUCUCUUCCUCUUAUGUGUUUAUUUCACACUCGGCAUUCCUCUUAUAAAGGGAAUUAGAGCUCGAGUUUUUCAUGGACUUGAACUUUGAUUGGAAAGCAUUUAGAUAAAUUGAAGCUUGUUAUUUGUUUUGUUGGGUGUAUCUUUAUCCGAUGAUAUUGUUUAGUCACUGUUAGUUCUA